rnacentral:lncRNA from 1 species
UACAAAUGAGUGGAAACUGGAAACCCGGGGCUGACUUUUAACACUAGCUAGGGAAGGAAAAGUGGCAGCAAAGCAAGACGAAGGUGGUGCUGCCAUUAUACAAGUGAAAGAGGAGACAACUUAUACAUAUAGUAAAUAAUAUUCAAGGUAAUUCAUUCUCAAAGGGAGCAUGCAUGUAACUAUAUAUAUAUAAUCUAUUGAUCAC